CCCCUAGACGUUCUGGGCUGCACGCGCGCUACAAUAAUACGCACAGCGAGUAUCACCGAGCUCGAAAGGGCAAGGUAAACAAUAGAAAAGGUAUUGUAAUGGUUAUAGAUCCUUGUAAUUAUUGAUCUUCAACGAGGAAUUCCUAGUAAGUAUGUGUCAUCAUCACGCACUGAUUACGUCCCUGCCCUUUGUACACACCGCCCGUCGCUCCUACCGAUUGAGUGAGCCGAUGAAACUGCCGGAUGUGGACUAUUCAUAGUCUGCAGAAGAUAUUUGAAUCGUAGCGCUUAGAGGAAGGAGAAGUCGUAACA
rnacentral:rRNA from 1 species